UUAACAUAUUCAUCUGGAUAUCAAGUUUUCUUUACACUUACCAUGUGCAUAUCAUGUUUUUUAAUGCUUGCUUUGCGCAUAUCGAAUUUUCAUUACGUUUUUUAUCUUUUAAAUUUUCCCAUCAUGGAGUUCAAAUAAAGUACUUUGGCUUGCCUUUGUUUACUGUGUAACAGAUGCUGUUGAAUAAGAAAUGUUGAUCAUGACUAUGGAUUCCGAAUAAAGAAACUGGUGAAAAACCUUUAUACAAAGGAAUGAAAGAAGGACAUGGGCUUAUUGUUCUUAAGGAUAGGAUAAUUAGGAAGUUGGAACCUUUACAAGUGCAAACUGACCAUCAACCCUCCUUGGCUCCUUUGUAGAACAGCCUACUCAAUCGAUUUCUGUAAAGAUUUGAUACAAAAGGAAGAUUGGGAAGUGCCAUUCUCUAGUGCCAUACCUUUCUAUUUUUUUUAGUCGGUUUGAUGACUUCUUGGUUUUGUUUUUUUUGGUGCCUGUAUAUCAUGUCAAAAAUAAAACAUGGACCUUUUAUCCGGCUUUCUUGGUAGCAAUUGUUCUCUGGAGAAAGCUGGUAGUACUCAAAAUCUAUUCUUGAUUUAAAGAUCCUUUUUACUUAGUAUUUUAAGACUUUAAGAUCUUUUUUACUUAGUAUUUUAAGACAUCUAUACGAAGUAUUGUUGCAAAAUAUUAUAAUAGGAAGUGUUAUUAGCCAUUUGGCUCAUGUAUAAUCUUUCAGGAAAACGUGUUGUACCCUUUACCGGCUCA